rnacentral:piRNA from 1 species
UGCAAAGGCUGAAUGGGGUGUUGUGAGC